AUUAACCUCAUCCUCUAUAACUGAGGGAAAGAAUAGUCAUUUGAACCAGCAAGCGCAGUGCACUUAGUGAAAGAAUGGUCAUUAGAACCAGCGAUCGCAGUAUAGAGGGAGCCGCCUCUCAGGGAGCACUGCCCUUUAUAAGAGGGGCGCAGCUGGAUUAAAGGUGAAGGAAACAGAACAGACUAGGACAACGGACGCCUCAGCCGCGACCCUCCCACCGCCUGCCUGGCUCCGCCCCUCUCUCCUUAUUGGUUGAGCCCAACCAGGAAGCCACCUCCCGCGGGAACUGGGUGGGAUCCCACAGGUCAGGCCCCCAGGAUGCGAGUCUGUGAAGACAGGCAGAUCGCGGGUCUGGAGGGCAGGACAGAAGAUACCUGUCACAGAGGGGGAACACGGAAGGCAGAAAGACGGAAAGCUGGAUCUGAAGCAGCUACUUGAACCACAGUCUCACAGCUGUGAUAGAGCCAAGUCACCAAACACCGUUUCCGAAGGAAACGGAACGUGCCUCAUUACGGCCUGGCGCAGAUCCCUCUGACAGACACAUGAGGCCACUCAGAAAGCUGGCUGAUUGCAAAGAGGCUCGAUUUCAAGGUCGGAGGAGUAAAUGAGACUCCAUUUCUGAUGAACACAGAUGAAGUUGCAGUUUGCCACUUUCAAUCAACGACACUGGACAGGCAAGUGGAGUUCUGCAACUUGAAACCAUCUCUGGGUAACUGGCCGCCGUCAAAUGGCACAGACAGGCAGCUCCGCGCUGAUGGGCUGUUUAUCUUCGCCACCACAACAGCGGCAGCCUCAGCAGCUGAGGAAGCGGCGAGCCGUUUUCUGCCUCGGCUCCUGCCGAGAGGGCAGAAUUAAGACAAACACUUUCAUUCUUGGCUGCCAAAGCGUUUUAGCUUCUGAAAAGCAAGGCAGGUAAACGCCAUCACCCCCGUAAGGAAAUAAAUAAAUAAAGCCCUGGUGAUGAGAGAGAACCUCUCUGGGUGA
rnacentral:lncRNA from 1 species